GGGUCAGUAGGUUGGUCGUGCCACCGGUACGUACUGGUCUCACUGAUUCCUCCUUCCUGAAGAGCCGUAAUGCCAUUAAUUUGGUGUUGCGGGGAAACAGGACUGUUACUUUGAAAAAAUUAGAGUGUUUAAAGCAAGCUGACGCUUGAAUACAUUAGCAUGGAAUAAUGAAAUAGGACGAUCGAUCCUAUUUUGUUGGUUUCUAGGAUUGACGUA
rnacentral:rRNA from 1 species